rnacentral:rRNA from 1 species
UGGGGAAUUUUGGACAAUGGGGGAAACCCUGAUCCAGCCAUCCCGCGUGUGCGAUGAAGGCCUUCGGGUUGUAAAGCACUUUUGGCAGGAAAGAAACGUCGCGGGUUAAUACCCCGCGAAACUGACGGUACCUGCAGAAUAAGCACCGGCUAACUACGUGCCAGCAGCCGCGGUAAUACGUAGGGUGCAAGCGUUAAUCGGAAUUACUGGGCGUAAAGCGUGCGCAGGCGGUUCGGAAAGAAAGAUGUGAAAUCCCAGAGCUUAACUUUGGAACUGCAUUUUUAACUACCGGGCUAGAGUGUGUCAGAGGGAGGUGGAAUUCCGCGUGUAGCAGUGAAAUGCGUAGAUAUGCGGAGGAACACCGAUGGCGAAGGCAGCCUCCUGGGAUAACACUGACGCUCAUGCACGAAAGCGUGGGGAGCAAACAGGAUUAGAUACCCUGGUAGUCCACGCCCUAAACGAUGUCAACUAGCUGUUGGGGCCUUCGGGCCUUGGUAGCGCAGCUAACGCGUGAAGUUGACCGCCUGGGGAGUGCGGUCGCAAGAUUAAAACUC